UUUUUUGAAACAAUAUCUCACAAUGUUGCCCAGGCUGACUUGACCUUCUAGGCUCAAAUGAUCCUUUCACCUCAGCCUCUCAAGUAGCUGAGAUGAUUACAGGUGUACUCCACCAUACCUGGCUUAUACACAGUAUUUCCAAAGGUUUCAGCCAACAAGCGUUGCUGGUUUCAAGCACAUUUGUGCCCACUGCCCACCACAUGCUCAUCCAGUAGACUAGUGGGACAUUCCCCACAUUAUAUGAAUUCUCUUUCUCCUUCUGUGAAGGAAGGACAUAUGAUAGAAUUCUUGCAAGUUAAACAUGUAUAUGCUAUGGACUCCACUGUGAAGUAUGUAAACCAUUUAGCAGAGGGUUGAGUAAGCCCUCAUAAGAAAGACCUUCAAGGCAUAUCCGAGGGAUGCCAAAACUCCCCAAAUCUAAGCUGCUUUUGUGGUUAAGCUGAGAGAGAAGAACAGUGUGCCACGAGGUUGGAACCUGGCUGCCAACUCUGGCAGUGGUUCCAUUUUAAUGACUUUUCCACAGUCAUUGUUCCGGAAGUCCGCCCAGGCCUUCCCCCAAGCCUCUCAUCUGAUGCAGAAAUCACGAUUGUCAUGCCAGACGUCUUUAUUUUUGUUUACUCUUUGGUAAGUUCCUCAGUGAUGUCUUUUUUUUUUUUUGAGAUGGAGUCUUGCUCUGUUGCUCAGGCUGGAGUGCUCAACUCAACAACUUAAAUGUCCAUCAGUAGAGGAGUGUUUAGGAAAAUUAGAGUAUGUUCUCAUAUUAGAAUUCUAUUCAGUCAUUAAAAAGAACAAAGUAGAGCUGUUUGUUCUAAUAUGGAACACGCUCUGAGAUAUAAUGUUAAGUAGAACAAAUGUAUAACAGGUACAUUGAUCUUACCAUUUAUGUAAAAAGAAAAAGGAGCUAUGGUGGUAAGUACGUGUUGUAUUUGCAAAUUUUAAAUAUGCUUAUGUUUGCAUUGUAUAUCUCUGGAAAGAUACAUAAAAAAUGAUUGGCAGUAGUUGCCUCCAUGAGAGGGGAUCAAGGAUAGAAGAAAGACUUACUGUUCAUUAUAUAUUCUUAUGUACUAUUUAAUUUUUUUUACAUAUGCUUGUAUUAAAUCUUUGAAAAUCAUAAUAUAGAAGUUUAAUCACUAGGAAAAAUCCUGCAUUAAAGCAGAGUGUUGAACAAUAGAAUUCCUACUGCUUUUUGCUUCGCUUCUCUAGCAAGAGAGUUUUGCAAUUAUGAAGUAAAAUAGCCUGUAUUUGAGUUGGACUAUUUCCCACAUACUAUAAAGAGAAAUAUUUCAACAGUCUUUCAAAGACAAAGUAUAAAUCAGUUAAUGACAGUGCCUGGCUUGGAACUGAGAAUUACAAUGGUCAUGUUCAUGUAUAUUAAUCCAACAGAAAUUCUUACUUGAAACUAAAAAAAUGAAUGUGUAUAAAGGCUGAAGAGGCAAAUGGCUUUAUAAAAAUGACUUUAUAAAAAUAGCCUCAAAUUUUUAUAAGUAGCUGAGAUUAAGCCAAGUAUUUUAAAAACUAGGAGCCAGAAUUUAUAAUCAUAGAAAUCAGAAGUCAGUCUGCACCUGGGUAAUCAGAAUCAAGUGAGAUUUAAGUUUCUUUAUGGGGUGGGGGGAGUGACAGUUUGCACUGACCCUUCACUCAUUCUACAAGCUUUACUGAGGCCCUACCCCGUUGAUGCCCAGUGUGGUACAAGGGGCAAGGGGCACAAGUGGAGAUUUCACUGUUAUUUUCUUGCCCAGAAUUUGUUUCCCCCUUUCCUGGUGACAGCAUCUUGAUUGUCCUUUGGGAAACCACCAGUUCCUACUCU
ensembl:lncRNA